GCCGUUGCGGGGUGACGGCAUGCAGUCGACGAUCCAGCAAUGGAUAGUGGCAAAAGGGCGAGUAACACGUGAGUAAUCUACCCUCAGGUAGGGAACAACCUUGGGAAACCGAGGCUAAAACCGCAUAAGACCACGACCUGGCAUCAGGUUGUGAUCAAAAGUGGGGACCGCAAGGCCCAUUACCGGAGGAUGAGCUCGCGUCCUAUCAGCUUGUUGGUAGGGUAACGGCCUACCAAGGCUUUUGACGGGUAGCUGGUCUGAGAGGAUGGUCAGCCGCAUUGGGACUGAGACACUGCCCAGACUCCUACGGGAGGCUGCAGUCGAGGAUCUUUUGCAAUGCCCGAAAGGGUGACAAUGCGACGCCGCGUGCGCGAUGAAGGUUUUCGGAUUGUAAAGCGCUGUCGUCCGGGAGGAAUCUCUGGAGGCCGAACAGGCCUUCAGGGUGACAGUACCGGAAGAGGAAGCCACGGCUAACUCCGUGCCAGCAGCCGCGGUAAUACGGAGGUGGCAGGCGUUACUCGGAUUGAUUGGGUGUAAAGGGCGUGUAGGUGGUGGAUUAAGUCGAAUGUGAAAUCCCUUGGCUCAACCAAGGAACUGCGUUCGAAACUGAUCUGCUUGAGGGACGGAGAGGAAAGCGGAAUUCCCGGUGUAACAGUGAAAUGUGUAGAUAUCGGGAGGAACACCAGUGGCGAAGGCGGCUUUCUGGACGUCACCUGACACUGAAACGCGAGAGCAUGGGGAGCAAACAGGAUUAGAUACCCUGGUAGUCCAUGCCGUAAACGAUGUGCACUAGGUGUCGGACCCUUUGGGUUCGGUGCCGCAGUUAACACACUAAGUGCACCACCUGGGGAGUACGGUCGCAAGACUGAAACUCAAAGGAAUUGACGG
rnacentral:rRNA from 1 species